UGGUCGGACGGGAUAACCGCUGAAAGCAUCUAAGCGGGAAGCCCCCUUCAAGAUGAGACAUCCCCGAGGCCUAGAGCCUCCUGAAGGGCCCAGCGAGACCAGCUGGUUGAUAGGCACGGUGUGGAAGCGCUGCAAGGCGUUGAGCUAACGUGUACUAAUGGCCCGUGAGGCUUGACCCUAUAACACCCAAGGGGU
rnacentral:rRNA from 1 species